rnacentral:rRNA from 1 species
GACAGAGGGUGCAAACGUUGUUCGGAAUUACUGGGCGUAAAGCGCAUGUAGGCGGCCAAGCAGGUCGGAUGUGAAAUCCCUCGGCUCAACCAAGGAAGUGCAUUCGAAACCGCAUGGCUGGAGUCCCGGAGAGGGUAGUGGAAUUCUCGGUGUAGAGGUGAAAUUCGUAGAUAUUAGCAAGAACACCAGUGGCGAAGGCGGCUCACUGGCCCGGUACUGACGCUGAGACGCGAAAGCGUGGGGAGCAAACAGG